rnacentral:lncRNA from 1 species
UCAAACAGGAUUGAUGUCUUCUGAUACUGUGAGAUCAUGUGAAACAGGAUUGCUGCCAUCUCCCGAUCCUGCGAAUUCGUGUCAAAUAGGAUUGAUACCUUCUCCCGACCCUGCGAGUUCAUGUCAAAUGGGAUCGAUGCUGCCUUUUCCCGACCCUGCGAAUUCAUGUCAAAUAGGAUCAAUGCCUUCUCUCUACCCUGCAAAUUCAUGUCAAACAGGAUUGAUGCCUUUUCCCGACCCUGCGAAUUCAUGUCAAAUAGGAUCAAUGCCUUCUCUCUACCCUGCAAAUUCAUGUCAAACAGGAUUGAUGCCUUCUCCCGACCCUGCGUAUUCAUGUCAAACAGAACCUGAAAAUUCAUGUCAAACAGGAUCCAUGCCUUCUCAUGACCCUGCCAAUUCAUGUCAAACAGGGUCGAUGCCUUA